rnacentral:rRNA from 1 species
GGAUGAACGUUGGCGGCGUGCCUAAUACAUGCAAGUCGAACGAAGACUGUAGUAAUACUGUCUUAGUGGCGAACGGGUGAGUAACGCGUGGGUGACCUGCCCCGAAGUGUGGGAUAACAGUCCGAAAGGAUUGCUAAUACUGCAUAAUAUCCAAGAGAUUAGACGCUUUUGGAUUAAAGGAGUAAUUCGCUUCGGGAGGGGCCCGCGUCCCAUCAGCUAGUUGGUAAGGUAAUGGCUUACCAAGGCGAUGACGGGUAGGGGACCUGAGAGGGUGGCCCCCCACAAUGGAACUGAAACACGGUCCAUACACCUACGGGUGGCAGCAGUAGGGAAUAUUAGUAAUGGGCGAAAGCCUGAACUAGCAACGCCGCGUGUGCGAAGAAGGCCUUCGGGUUGUAAAGCACUUUUUGAGAGGAUGAGGAAGGACGGUACUCUCAGAAUAAGUCUCGGCUAACUACGUGCCAGCAGCCGCGGUAACACGUAGGAGGCAAACGUUAUCCGGAAUUAUUGGGCGUAAAGGGCGAGUAGGCGGUCUGUUAAGUCAGGUGUGAAAUUUCAGGGCUCAACCCUGAAACUGCGCUUGAAACUGGCAGGCUAGAGGACAGGAGAGGGAAGUGGAAUUCCCGGUGUAGCGGUGGAAUGCGUAGAUAUCGGGAGGAACACCAGUGGCGAAGGCGGCUUCCUGGACUGUACCUGACGCUGAGGAGCGAAAGCUGGGGGAGCAAACAGGAUUAGAUACCCUGGUAGUCCCAGCUGUAAACGAUGAGUGCUAGGUGUGGAGGGCUACAAUCCUCCGUGCCGCAGUUAACGCAAUAAGCACUCCGCCUGGGGAGUACGGCCGCAAGGCUAAAACUCAAAGGAAUUGACGGGGGCCCGCACAAGCAGUGGAGCGUGUGGUUUAAUUCGAGGCAACGCGCAGAACCUUACCAGGGUUUGACAUCAUACCGACGUCUGUAGAAACACAGAUUUCCGUUUAGGCGGACGGUAUGACAGGUGUUGCAUGGUUGUCGUCAGCUCGUGUCGUGAGAUGUUGGGUUAAGUCCCGCAACGAGCGCAACCCCUAUCCAAUGUUGCCAACAGGUAAAGCUGGGGACUCAUUGGAGACUGCCGGAGACGAUCUGGAGGAAGGUGGGGAUGAGGUCAAAUCAUCAUGGCCCUUAAGCCCUGGGCUACACACGCGCUACAAUGGCCGGUACAACGGGCAGCGAAGGAGCGAUCUGGAGCGAAUCCCAAAAAGCCGGCCCCAGUUGGAAUCGCAGGCUGCAACCCGCCUGCGUGAACAUGGAAUUGCUAGUAAUCGCGAAUCAGCUACGUCGCGGUGAAUACGUUCCCGGGCCU